rnacentral:rRNA from 1 species
AUUGAACGCUGGCGGCAGGCUUAACACAUGCAAGUCGAGCGGAGAUGAGGUGCUUGCACCUUAUCUUAGCGGCGGACGGGUGAGUAAUGCUUAGGAAUCUGCCUAUUAGUGGGGGACAACAUUCUGAAAGGAAUGCUAAUACCGCAUACGCCCUACGGGGGAAAGCAGGGGAUCUUCGGACCUUGCGCUAAUAGAUGAGCCUAAGUCGGAUUAGCUAGUUGGUGGGGUAAAGGCCUACCAAGGCGACGAUCUGUAGCGGGUCUGAGAGGAUGAUCCGCCACACUGGGACUGGGACACGGCCCAGACUCCUACGGGAGGCAGCAGUGGGGAAUAUUGGACAAUGGGCGGAAGCCUGAUCCAGCCAUGCCGCGUGUGUGAAGAAGGCCUUUUGGUUGUAAAGCACUUUAAGCGAGGAGGAGGCUACCUGGAUUAAUACUCUAGGAUAGUGGACGUUACUCGCAGAAUAAGCACCGGCUAACUCUGUGCCAGCCGCCGCCGUAAGAC